rnacentral:rRNA from 1 species
UACGUAGGGACCGAGCGUUGUCCGGAUUCAUUGGGCGUAAAGAGCUCGUAGGCGGCAACUCAAGUCGAAUGUGAAACCUCGAGGCUUAACCUCGAGCCUGCAUUCGAUACUGGGCGGCUAGAGUCUGGUAGGGGGAUCUGGAAUUCCUGGUGUAGCGGUGGAAUGCGCAGAUAUCAGGAGGAACACCGGUGGCGAAGGCGGGUCUCUGGGCAGUAACUGACGCUGAGGAGCGAAAGCGUGGGGAGCGAACAGG